UACCUCUCCCGACGACUCUCUCUCUCUCUCUCUCUCUCUCUCUCUCUCUCUCUCUCUCUCUCUCUCUCUCUCUCUCUCCCGACUCUCAGCUUCUUCCUACCCCCGACUCUCUCUCUCUCGCGCGCGACUCUCAGCUUCUGCCUACCCCCGACUCUCUCUCUCUCUCUCUCUCUCUCUCUCUCUCUCUCGCGCGCGCGAGCUGCCAUUAAUUUCAGGGCUUAGAUGAAGAUCUGAAACAGUUUUCGAUCUGAAUUCUGUUGGAUUUUGUGACGGGUGGAGUGUUUUCUGCACUCGAUUAUGUAGUCGGAAUUUUCAGGGAAGAGUUAUCAGUUUGAAUUCUACUUGUUUUUUCAUUUGGGACUUUAUGCUUUGGAUUUUGCCAUGGAAGGUGGCAGUGAUCCAGAAGGGAGUCAGUUUCUGAGGUUUCUCUUUUCUCCAUUUUCAUUUUUUUUUUUUUUUCAUUUGAGAAUGUUGAAUUGUGUCAAUCUUUAUGGAAAGAACCGCAGUUUUAGAUUUUGAAGUUGUCAGUUAUUGGAAAGAUCCUUAACCACUCAACA